GACGAACGCUGGCGGCGCGCCUAACACAUGCAAGUCGAACGAGCGAGAGGGAGCUUGCUUUCUUGAGCGAGUGGCGAACGGGUGAGUAACGCGUGAGGAACCUGCCUCAAAGAGGGGGACAACAGUUGGAAACGACUGCUAAUACCGCAUAAGCCCACGGUGCCGCAUGGCACAGAGGGAAAAGGAGCAAUCCGCUUUGAGAUGGCCUCGCGUCCGAUUAGCUAGUUGGUGAGGUAACGGCCCACCAAGGCGACGAUCGGUAGCCGGACUGAGAGGUUGAACGGCCACAGUGGGACUGAGACACGGCCCAGACUCCUACGGGAGGCAGCAGUGGGGAAUAUUGCACAAUGGGGGAAACCCUGAUGCAGCGACGCCGCGUGGAGGAAGAAGGUCUUCGGAUUGUAAACUCCUGUUGUUGGGGAAGAUAAUGACGGUACCCAACAAGGAAGUGACGGCUAACUACGUG
rnacentral:rRNA from 1 species